CUUCGAGCCCCCCCUCCACCAAGACUAGGGGCAAGUUGCCCGUCAAGCGAGUUAAGAACGCGGACCAACAGCCCGCGCCCUUCGCCCCUCAAUCCUCGGACGAGGACGAUGCCUACAUUCCACAUGCCUAAGAUGUGGUGGACGAGUGGCACGGGGACGGCUCACCCUCAGACUACGAAGAGUGGCAAGACCUCCCACCUACCUCUUCAAAGUAUGUCAAAG